rnacentral:rRNA from 1 species
GGGACAUGUGCACGCUCUGUCUACACAUGCACUCGCACCUGUGCACCCUCCGUAGUUCUAUGGUCUGGGGGACCCUGUCUUCCUGCCGUGGUUCUAGGUCUUUACACACACUCUGUAAUAAAGUCCUAUGGAAUGUAUGCCGCGUCUAACGCAAUACAAUACAGCUUUCAGCAACGGAUCUCUUGGCUCUCGCAUCGAUGAAGAACGCAGCGAAAUGCGAUAAGUAAUGUGAAUUGCAGAAUUCAGUGAAUCAUCGAAUCUUUAAACGCACCUUGCGCACCUUGGCUAUUCCGAGGGGCAUGCCUGUUUGAGUAUCAUGAACACCUCAACUCUCAUGGUUCGCCGUGAUGAGCUUGGACUCUGGGGGUUUUGCUGGCCUGUGGUCGGCUCCCCACAAAUGAAUCAGCCUCCCAGUGUUUGGUGGCAUCACGGGUGUGAUAAAUAUCUACGCUCGCGGUUGUCUGCCAGGUAACCUUUGGUGACAAAGGUUCGCUGGAGCUCGCAGAUGUCUCUCCUCGGCGAGGACAGCUUUUUUGAACGUUCAGAUCUCAAAUCAGGUAGGACUACCCGCUGAACUUAAGC